AGUAAAGAAGUGUUUUCACAUCCAGUUUCGACCUGGCCCCAGGUUUUCCCUUUACUU
rnacentral:tRNA from 1 species